rnacentral:rRNA from 1 species
GGUCAGGAUGAACGCUAGCGACAGGCCUAACACAUGCAAGUCGAGGGGCAGCACAAGGAGCAAUCUGAGGUGGCGACCGGCGCACGGGUGAGUAACACGUAUGCAACCUGCCUGUAAGCGGGGAAUAACCCGUUGAAAGACGGACUAAUACCGCAUAAUACUAAAUUACUGCAUGGUAAUUUAUUUAAACAUUUAUGGCUUACAGAUGGGCAUGCGCAUGAUUAGCUAGUUGGAGAGGUAACGGCUCCCCAAGGCAACGAUCAUUAGGGGUUCUGAGAGGAAGGUCCCCCACACUGGUACUGAGACACGGACCAGACUCCUACGGGAGGCAGCAGUGAGGAAUAUUGGUCAAUGGACGAGAGUCUGAACCAGCCAAGUCGCGUGCAGGAAGAAUGUCCCUAUGGAUUGUAAACUGCUUUUGCAGGGGAAUAAAGUGCAUCACGUGUGAUGUUUUGUAUGUACUCUGCGAAUAAGGAUCGGCUAACUCCGUGCCAGCCGCGGC